rnacentral:misc_RNA from 1 species
AACGCAAAUUGCACUCCCUGGUAUUCCGGGGAGUAUGCCUGUUUGAGGGUCGUUAGAAUAAAAAUCGAGGCGUCGCUCUUUUUUUUAAGGGUGAUCGCGUCGGAAUUGAGCCGUCUUUCAAAUGUUAAUUCAUGUCAAAGUGGCUUAAAAUUCAUCCAUCCGGUACGAUUAAAGCGUAUUUAAGAUCAAUUUUGAUUAAGAACGCGCGAUGACGUACCAUCUCAUGUAGUACGUUUGACCUGGCGUCGUCAGGAUCAUUCGUAUACGAUACUCAACUUUUGACCUCAAAUCAGGUAAGAAUACCCGCUGAACUUAA